UACGUAGGGGGCAAGCGUUGUCCGGAUUUAUUGGGCGUAAAGAGCGUGUAGGCGGUUUGGUAGGUCCGCUGUGAAAACUCGAGGCUCAACCUCGAGACGCCGGUGGAAACCAUCAGGCUAGAGUCCGGAAGAGGAGAGUGGAAUUCCUGGUGUAGCGGUGAAAUGCGCAGAUAUCAGGAAGAACACCCCGUGGCUAAGGCGGCUCUCAGUACGGUACUGACGCUGAGACGC
rnacentral:rRNA from 1 species